UACGUAGGUGACCAGCGUUGUCCGGAUUUACUGGGCGUAAAGAGCGCGCAGGCGGUCGUUCAAGUCGAGUGUGAAAGCCCCCGGCUCAACUGGGGAGGGUCAUUCGAUACUGAUCGACUUGAAGGCAGGAGAGGGAAGUGGAAUUCCCGGUGUAGUGGUGAAAUGCGUAGAUAUCGGGAGGAACACCGGUGGCGAAGGCGACUUCCUGGCCUGUUCUUGACGCUGAGGCGCGAAAGCUAGGGGAGCAAACGGG
rnacentral:rRNA from 1 species